GUAGGUGAACCUGCGGAAGGAUCAUUAACUAGUAUUGAAGUCCACGGGGUCAAGCUUUCCGAAAGGAGGGUGGGGGGAUGUUUGGUUCCCCCUGCUUGGGCAGACUGGAGAGCAUGGCGCAACCGGCACACCUAGUGUGUCGGCCAAGUCAUGUUUGGCCUCUGCUGAUCGAGCUUGUCACCUGAAUUCUACUACCCUUGCUUUUUGCGCACCCAUUGUUUCCUCGGCAGGCUUGCCUGCCAGUAGGACC
rnacentral:misc_RNA from 1 species